UUAACUCAAGUUUGUAUGGAAUUCGAACGUUUGCCGCUAGGCGCGCUGUUCCAACUGCAUACAAAUUUGAGUUA
rnacentral:pre_miRNA from 1 species